GCGAAUGCCAAUUCUCCAUGGACUGCUAAGAACGGAAGCCUCUCUUCCCGAACCCCUCUCCUUCCCUCGAUCCAAAUUUUAAACCCUUCUCCUCCCUUUUCCUAGUCCGAUCACAAUCCCACAAGCCCCUCUUCAUCGUGAUCAAACUCGCUAACGGCGAAAUCUAGGGCACCAAAUCCCUCGUUAGGCCGUGGCUUGCCUUGGCGUCGUCAAUCUGCUCGAGUACGCGAAAUCCCCGCCCGUCGCUGAUGGUUCCCUGGUGAUAGGGUUUCUGAAAGGUGGAUACAAGAUCAUGACGAACACUGUGAAAGUUCCUGACGGAUUCAUGGGUUUGGAAUUAAAUUCGGUGCUCAGAGAUUGCAUAGAUGCACAGGGAUUUCCGGUUGAGGCAGCGACAUUCGGGAGAGGCAUUAAACGCUGGCUUUUGAUCGAGCAGGGCACGAAGUACCAGCUUGAGUGUUGAUUUGUGAGAGGCAUGUCGAGUCAUGGGAUUCGUUUGAGCUGCAAAAAGAUUGGAUCUUGAUGGGUUUCAUGGACGUGCCAGAGUUUUCCGUGCCGAACAAUUUCCUUUGCCGGAGGGAGUUCUGAUAGGUGAGAUGGCUUCAGGCUCGUUCUCUUGUUUCCAUCACUGAUGAUUGGAAAAUGUGCUGCAAAAAUAAAUGUAUCAUGUACGGAACUCUUUUUCCGUGAGUUUUCAUUGACAAUGUCACUGGGGUCAUUUGCAGGGGAGAUUGCUUAAUUGAUGGAUAUCUAUUUACCAUAUCUCAAUAUUUCUGAAGGGCGCAUGAGGAAAAUGCAGAUUUCUAAGCUGUGAGGAGCUUUCUAGGAAUAGAUACGUGGAGCAGCAAUAAAAAAUGG